UACGUAGGGGGCAAGCGUUGUCCGGAAUCAUUGGGCGUAAAGCGCGUGUAGGCGGUUCGGUAAGUCCGACGUGAAAGUCCAGGGCUCAACCCUGGGAUGCCGGUCGAUACUGCCGGACUAGAGUUCGGAAGAGGCGAGUGGAAUUCCCGGUGUAGCGGUGAAAUGCGCAGAUAUCAGGAGGAACACCGAUUGCGAAGGCAGCUCGCUGGGACGUUACUGACGCUGAGACGCGAAAGCGUGGGGAGCAAACAGG
rnacentral:rRNA from 1 species